CCUACGGGUGGCAGCAGUGAGGAAUAUUGGUCAAUGGACGCAAGUCUGAACCAGCCAUGCCGCGUGCAGGAAGACGGCUCUAUGAGUUGUAAACUGCUUUUGUACGAGGGUAAACGCAGAUACGCGUAUCUGUCUGAAAGUAUCGUACGAAUAAGGAUCGGCUAACUCCGUGCCAGCAGCCGCGGUAAUACGGAGGAUUCAAGCGUUAUCCGGAUUUAUUGGGUUUAAAGGGUGCGUAGGCGGUCGGGUAAGUUAGAGGUGAAAUCCCGAGGCUCAACUUCGGAAUUGCCUCUGAUACUGUUAGGCUAGAGAGUAGGUGCGGUAGGCGGAAUGUAUGGUGUAGCGGUGAAAUGCUUAGAGAUCAUACAGAACACCGAUUGCGAAGGCAGCUUACCAAGUGACUUCUGACGUUGAGGCACGAAAGCGUGGGGAGCAAACAGGAUUAGAUACCCGUGUAGUC
rnacentral:rRNA from 1 species